UACGUAGGGACCAAGCGUUGUUCGGAUUUACUGGGCGUAAAGGGCGCGUAGGCGGCAUGACAAGUCACUUGUGAAAUCUCCGGGCUUAACUCGGAACGGUCAAGUGAUACUGUCGCGCUAGAGUGCGGAAGGGGCAAUCAGAAUUCUUGGUGUAGCGGUGAAAUGCGUUGAUAUCAUCAGGAACACCGGAGGCGAAGGCGGCUCACUGGGGAUUUUCUGACGCUGAGGAACGAAAGCCAGGGGAGCGAACGGG
rnacentral:rRNA from 1 species